UACGUAGGUGGCGAGCGUUGUCCGGAAUUACUGGGCGUAAAGGGCGUGUAGGCGGCUUUUUAAGUCAGACGUGAAACCCCUGGGCUUAACCCAGGACCUGCGUUUGAAACUGGAGAGCUUGAGGGCCGGAGAGGACAGUGGAAUUCCCAGUGUAGCGGUGAAAUGCGUAGAUAUUGGGAGGAACACCAGUGGCGAAGGCGACUGUCUGGACGGCACCUGACGCUGAGGCGCGAAAGCCAGGGGAGCAAACGGG
rnacentral:rRNA from 1 species